rnacentral:miRNA from 1 species
ACCACUCCCACAAACGUCUACGACCACGCCUACAUUCGACUACAUAGUUUUACAUGUUUACAAUUCUAAUUUUGAACAGCCAAUCAGGUUCUUGGUAAUUGGCUGUUUAAAAUUAGAAUUGUAAACGUGCAAAACUAUGUAGGCGCGGUCGUAGACGUUUGUGCAUGGGAGUGGU